rnacentral:rRNA from 1 species
GGUUAAGUUAGAAAGGGCGCACGGUGGAUGCCUUGGCACUAGGAGCCGAAGAAGGACGGGACUAACACCGAUAUGCUUUGGGGAGCUGUACGUAAGCGUUGAUCCAGAGAUUUCCGAAUGGGGGAACCCACUAUCUUUAGUCGGAUAGUAUCCUUACGUGAAUACAUAGCGUGAGGAAGGCAGACCCAGGGAACUGAAACAUCUAAGUACCUGGAGGAAGAGAAAGAAAAAUCGAUUUCCUGAGUAGCGGCGAGCGAAACGGAAAGAGCCCAAACCAAGAAGCUUGCUUCUUGGGGUUGUAGGACACUCUAUACGGAGUUACAAAAGAAAGUUAUAAAUGAAGCGGUCUGGAAAGGCCCGCCAAAGACGGUAACAGCCCGGUAGUUGAAAUGGCUUUCCCUCCAGAGUGGAUCCUGAGUACGGCGGAACACGUGAAAUUCCGUCGGAAUCCGGGAGGACCAUCUCCCAAGGCUAAAUACUCCCUAGUGACCGAUAGUGAACCAGUACCGUGAGGGAAAGGUGAAAAGCACCCCGGAAGGGGAGUGAAACAGUUCCUGAAACCGUGUGCCUACAAGUAGUUAGAGCCCGUUAAUGGGUGAUAGCGUGCCUUUUGUAGAAUGAACCGGCGAGUUACGAUUUGUUGCAAGGUUAAGCGGAAAAAGCGGAGCCGUAGCGAAAGCGAGUCUGAAUAGGGCGCAUAAGUAACAGGUCGUAGACCCGAAACCAGGUGAUCUACCCAUGUCCAGGAUGAAGGUAAGGUAAUACUUACUGGAGGUCCGAACCCACGCACGUUGAAAAGUGCGGGGAUGAGGUGUGGGUAGCGGAGAAAUUCCAAUCGAACUUGGAGAUAGCUGGUUCUCUCCGAAAUAGCUUUAGGGCUAGCCUCGAGGUAAAGAGUCAUGGAGGUAGAGCACUGUUUGGACUAGGGGCCCUUCUCGGGUUACCGAAUUCAGAUAAACUCCGAAUGCCAUGUACUUAUACUCGGGAGUCAGACUGCGAGUGAUAAGAUCCGUAGUCGAAAGGGAAACAGCCCAGACCACCAGUUAAGGUCCCCAAAUAUAUGUUAAGUGGAAAAGGAUGUGGGGUUGCUUAGACA